rnacentral:rRNA from 1 species
GACGAACGCUGGCGGCGUGCUUAACACAUGCAAGUCGAACGAGAUCCAAUGUGUAGCAAUACACAGGAAGAUCUAGUGGCGAACGGGUGAGGAACACGUGAGAAACGUACCCCAGACUUUGGGAUAACAGUCCGAAAGGACUGCUAAUACCAAAUAACGUCGGAAGUCCGCAUGGACAUCUGACGAAAGGGAUUCCGGUUUGGGAGCGUCUCGCGGACCUAUCAGCUAGUUGGAGGGGUAACGGCCCACCAAGGCAACGACGGGUAGCUGGUCUGAGAGGAUGGUCAGCGACACUGGGACUGAGACACGGCCCAGACUCCUACGGGAGGCAGCAGUGGGGAAUCUUGCGCAAUGGGCGAAAGCCUGACGCAGCAACGCCGCGUGCGGGAAGAAGGCUUUCGGGCUGUAAACCGCUUUCAGUAGGAACGAAACUGACGGUACCUACAGAAGAAGGAGCGGCCAACUAUGU